rnacentral:rRNA from 1 species
AGAGUUUGAUUCUGGCUCAGGAUGAACGCUGGCGGCGUGCUUAACACAUGCAAGUCGAACGGAGUUUUAACGGAAGUUUCGGAUGGAAGUUUAGAAACUUAGUGGCGGACGGGUGAGUAACGCGUGGGUAACCUGCCUCAUACAGGGGGAUAACAGUUAGAAAUGACUGCUAACACCGCAUAAUAUAGCGAAACCGCAUGAUUUUGCUAUCAAAUAUUUAUAGGUAUGAGAUGGGCCCGCGUCUGAUUAGCUAGUUGGUGGGGUAAAAGCCUACCAAGGCGACGAUCAGUAGCCGGCUUGAGAGAGUGACCGGCCACAUUGGGACUGAGACACGGCCCAAACUCCUACGGGAGGCAGCAGUGGGGAAUAUUGGACAAUGGGGGAAACCCUGAUCCAGCCGACGCCGCGUGAGUGAAGAAGUAUUUCGGUAUGUAAAGCUCUAUCAGCAGGGAAGAUAAUGACAGUACCUGACUAAGAAGCCCCGGCUAACUACGUGCCAGCCGCGGC